rnacentral:rRNA from 1 species
CCUACGGGUGGCAGCAGUAGGGAAUUUUCGGCAAUGGGCGCAACCCUGACCGAGCAACGCCGCGUGAACGAAGAAGGUAUUCGUAAUGUAACGUUCUUUUAACAGGGAAGAAAGAGAAAUUUGACGGUACCUGAAGAAUAAGCUCCGGCUAACUACGUGCCAGCAGCUCCGGGAAUACGUAGGUAGGGAGCGUUAUCCGGAAUUAUUGAUCGUAAAGGGUACGUAGAUGGCAUAGUAAGUCUUUUGUAAAAAUGCUGGGCUAAACCCAGUAGGGCAAAAGAUACUGCAAAGCUAGAGUAUGACAGAGGCAAGUGGAAGUACAUGUGUAGCAGUAAAAUGCGUAAAUAUAUGUAAGAACACCAGUGGCGAAGGUGGCUUGCUGGGUCGAUACUGACAUUGAGGCACGAAAGCGUGGGGAGCAAACAGGAUUAGAUACCCCUGUAGUC